GGGGAUAUAGCUCAGUUGGGAGAGCGCUUCCAUGGCAUGGAAGAGGUCAGGGGUUCGAGCCCCCUUAUCUCCACCA
rnacentral:tRNA from 2 species